AACAACGGACGAAGAAGAAGCGCCAGAAUGUUUUCAUUUUAUGAUAUAAUAUGGGAUUCCAUUCCAGACACAGUCUUUUCGUUUUUGGUUGCUUUAGUUCUUACAUUAUGCGUUGAAAUACCAUUUAGAAAAUUAGCACAAGUACUUCUUCCCUCAAAAAAAGCUGUCACUAAAUGAGUAUUUAAAAUAUUUUCUAAUAUUAUUUCUUAUUUUUGAACAGUAUAAUAUUAUAAAUAUAUGUAACUCUAUGUAUUAUGUAAUUAUUAAACAAUUAAAUGCUCCAAUUAAAUAAUAAAUUACUUACAAAA